UACGUAGGUGGCAAGCGUUGUCCGGAUUUACUGGGCGUAAAGGAUGCGUAGGUGGAUAUUUAAGUCAGAUGUGAAAUACCCGAGCUUAACUUGGGUGCUGCAUUUGAAACUGGAUAUCUAGAGUGCAGGAGAGGUAAGUGGAAUUCCUAGUGUAGCGGUGAAAUGCGUAGAGAUUAGGAAGAACACCAGUGGCGAAGGCGACUUACUGGACUGUAACUGACACUGAGGCAUGAAAGCGUGGGGAGCAAACAGG
rnacentral:rRNA from 2 species